AGCCAAUCCAAAAGCAGGGGUGUGUGAGAGGGCGUGGUUUGAAUGGGGCGCUCUGGAAAAUUCGAUGGAUUAACUAGUUUUAAAAGGAAACGUCUUGAAAUAAAGGAUCCAGGGACCAAUGCCAGGAUCAUGUAUUGUUGUCCAGAAUGUCUACAGGACUUGCUAUAUGUGCGACAUAGGUGAGUCCUUUCUGGCCAAGAGGGAUGAAGCAUGGAUCAUCAUCACACACCACCAUGGCUGCAGCCUACUGUCAUUGUCAACGUCCCAGGUUAUCACAGUAGACCAAAGGUGACAUGGCGUGGGCAGUCCAAAUGAUAGGGAUGGAUGGCGAAGGCUGUUUCCCAUACAGCAACUACAACAGCAGCCAUCCAGACCAGGGCACGUACCUUCCCUGAGAGGGAGAUUAGGGUUUAGGAAGUGGAGCAGGCCUUUGAGAUGACAUGGCUAAAAUGAACCCCGUGCCUAGUGAAUGCGUGGUAUAAAUAGCUGACAGGAAGAUCUCCAGGUUGCAUGCAUCAUUAGUGACUGCACGUCACUAUAAACACUGUCAACAAACAUUGCCCGGCCAUUGUAAACAUGACACAGAUUGGGAUUUUUCUUGAUAUGAUGACUAGUAGUGGUGUACUAGUCAACUAUGUCAUGCUUACUGGGCUUUCGAUGUACACAAAGAUUUACAGUAAAGGCAACAAUAUGAAGCAUAUUUGAUAGGAUUAGUCUUAUUGAUAUUUUUGAAACAGUAUUUAUGUCUACUGAAGUGUUGAUCUUGGUAUAGUAUCUUUUAGCACAUGUAUCAGGGGCGGAUCCUGGCUUUAACCCAGUCCACUGGUAAACCCUCACACCAUGAGCCUACUGCUUCUGUUCCACAUGUCUUAUGUUGUGCUGGGUUGUUUAGUCUGGGGAUCUACUGACUGAGAGGAGACCAGAUCGCCACCUCUCUCGUCAAUACUCCUGCAUGUACCAUGUCUCCUCAGAGAACACACGCUUUAAUCAGACAGAUCCCUUACAUCUCCUUGCUGCUGGCAGAGAGAGAAGCAGUGCGGAGAUAAACGCGGAUUAUUUUACCGAUAAGACUCCUUCCCUUCCCACCAUGGUAAGAUGAACCCAAGGAGUGAAUGCUGAUGUGAACGCUUUCCCUCUCUUUCUCUCUAUCUGAACCUGAAAUGGGUCAAUGCAACAUACUGUCCUUACAAUAUGUAAUUGACUGUAUCGUUAAACUGUUCCUAAAGCUGUUCCCUUGACAUCCAUUUUAUUAUCACGUUAUUACGGUAUCGUCUUCAUCCAAGUCAAAAAGUUGCCUAUUCAAUGCUCAGUCCAGUUGUGUCGGAUGGGGUCAAACGGGAAAGAAAUCAAGUUACUUUACACUUAGUGGUCUCUAAAACAAACGCUUCCUUUACAGCCCAGAUAACAAAAGUUAGUUUCUAGUCCGUGAGAGCUGUAGACAGACAUGUUGUGGUAAGCCUUGUGGUGCGUAGCUAAACCUAACUACGGUUCUCCAGCCCUGCCUAUGUCUGCUGGUUAGGGCUUCUCAUUGUAAUUCUCCAGCCAUAGCUAACACCAGACACUUCCCACAAUAACAGAAAGUGCGAUCGUCACCACAGGUGAAAUUGGACAAUGAUUACAGGACUUUCUUUAAAACGGUACACGUUGAACAUCACAUUUCCCAGGUCCUCGGUUGUCUUCUGCUGCACCAAUUGUUCCCGUGAUGGCAUUAGGUCUGUUUUUGAAUAUUGAUGUUGUAAUAUCUUGGAUGGUUCCUUGUCCCCCCCACUCCUAAAAACGAGAUGCUCCUGUACUUAAGAGGCUUUAUGUACCUCUCUGUUUUUUUUGUUGCUUGAUGUGCCUUUAAAACAAGUGGCUAGUCAGGUGACCAAGGAGAGGAGGCUCGUCUCUGUCAGCUUAGCUCUCAGCUGAGAGAGAGAGAGAGAGAGACCCAAAUUGAAAGGGGACACGGGGGAAAAUGGGGACACGGGACACAGGAUCCGUUACAGUCAGAGAGAAAUGGGUGGAUAGAGUGGGAGGUGGCAACAAGGUCUCUUUAACUGCAGCCCCAGCUAGCUGUGCUCAGCUGUCUGCUUGGCAGCCAGCAGUGUGCUGCUGGGUCGAGUUCUUCAAGAAGCUGCUGCCUGCGUUGGUGCCUGUAGCCACAAUAGUAGCAGCCGAGAAAGCCCUGAAAAUGAGUGCUGCGUCACACCGAUCGAGGAAGAGAAAUAGAGAGUGAUCGUAAACCGUUGUGGCGUUCUGUUUGUGUGUGUGGUCUGUUGGCGCAUAUCUGUGUCCGUGCAAAACUAGCUGUCGGGAAGAGCAAUUCUGCUGUUGCAACAAGAUGAAAAUAGAGUGUGCGUGUGUGUCUGAGGGAGGCAGGGAGAGAGGGC
ensembl:lncRNA